UUUUUCUUUUUCCUUCUUCAAUUUGCAGAGAACUUCUAAGAGAGAUUUUGGAAGAAGAAGAGAAAUUUUACUAGAAUUUUUAGGUUGAAGAAGAGGAGGAGAACUCAAGCAAAGUGUAUCAAUGGCUGAAUUUUAGUUCAUUCUGCACAUCACUGGUUUUUAAUUCGGUUUGAACUCUUCAAAAGGAAUUAAGAGGGCAGUUGGUUUUCACUCGAAAUCAGGAGGUCUCUGGUUUUUCUUGUAUUUCAGAGUGUAUCGGUAGAGUUAGAAUCUCUAUUUGGUAUGGUUGGAAAGCUUAUUCAAUUUACUACAACUUUCAUGAAGAAAUUGUAAACCAAAAACGACUAAAAAUCAGUUAAAUUGUAGGGACAAGUUAAAGAGGUCGUGUGUGCGCAAUUCUGGAAGUGGUUCUGUUUUGAGGGUUAUAUGUGUUUAUGCACGGGGAAUCAGAUUUAUAUGUCUUCAGGCCGAGAAGAAUUAAACCGAGCUUAUAGACCAAGGAUCUAGCCCAAGACUGUGAGUGACAAAACCAACUUUGAAAUAUUUUCCAUAAUUGUUAUUAUGAUUGAAUGCGAUAAAUGUUUAUUUACGAAGCCAUGAAAAGUAUUUGAAUUUCAUGACUAUUUUCAAAUAUACAUUUGGAGACUAGAUUUCUUAAAGAAAUUUAUGCUAGCACGUAGAUAUUAAAUGUUUGGAAAGUAUUUAAACCACGAUAUGUUAAGCAAAGCAUGAAUUAGUAUGAAGUUUUGUUUUAAGAACUUCAAUUUUCCACGAAAGAGCUGAGUAAAGUUCGAGCUUUGUGUAAAAUUUAUAAGCAGGCAUGUUUUAAUAUUUAAAGAUGAUUUAUGAAAUUUUCAUUAACUACAUGACUGAGAUCUUGAGCCUGAGGCUAGAGAUUACCGUGUGCACGCUGGUUAGAUUCCGUUGUUGACGUUGAGUGUACUCCGUAACAACGAUGCUGUCGUGAGUGCUGGGCGGGCCCCACUACGACAAAGAUGAUGGGAGUGCUGGGCGGGCCCCACUACAUCGUAGUGCUUGUAAACGUUGUUGUACUAGGUGUACCCUACACAACGUAGAUUCGUCAUGUUAGUUAAAAUGCUUCGAUAUACUUGAUAUGCCUUGCUAGAUUUCAAUGAUGAACAUGCUGAGUAUUUAAGGAAGCUAUUCUUACUACUACACAUUUACAUUUGCGACUUGUAUAAACAGAUUUAUAUGUGUAAAGUUUUCACGUGCUCUUAUCUUUAAAUUCAUAGUUUUAAACUGAGUCACUCACUGAGCUUCAUAGCUCACCCUUUCCAAAAUGUUUUACCCAUUUUCCAGGUAGAGAUCGACUUCUCGGUGCCUGAUAAACUGCCUUAGUCUGCGGAAGCUUCAUUAUCGAUUGCCAGUACGUGUUUUGAGUUGGGCAUAGAGUCUGUUGUGUUGUGGUGUAUAUACACCCUUGUAUGUUAUAGAUACUCCACAGUUUGUAUAAGCUUUAGGAGCUGUAGUUGUGUAAAUUUUGUUGGUUAUAUUUUGAUUAAGGUGUCUUUAGGUUUACUCGUGAAAUCGGUAAAUUUUGAGGUACACUUCAUGUAUGUGUUUGACUAGCUGUGUUUGACUAGCCUAGGAUCCGCUGUGUUUUGUGGCAUGUACAAUAGUUUAUAUACUAGAUUGGCAAGUUCA